rnacentral:lncRNA from 1 species
GUGUUUUAUUUAGGAAGGUGGGUAGGUGGUGUGGGAAGAAAAAGACACAUUCCUUGAAUCAAUGUGAGAUACCUUAACAUAUUUAUCACAUUUAAUCUGGACAAUUGGAGCGUGAAUAAUAUAAAUGAGAGUCUAAUAUUAAGAAUAGAUUUGACUUCGAUAUCAUAAUAAGACAAUAACUCCGUCUCUUAACUAAUAUGAGAGAUUGUUAAUGUGGAG